AUUGAACGCUGGCGGCAGGCCUAACACAUGCAAGUCGAGCGGAUGAAGGGAGCUUGCUCCUGGAUUCAGCGGCGGACGGGUGAGUAAUGCCUAGGAAUCUGCCUGGUAGUGGGGGAUAACGUCCGGAAACGGGCGCUAAUACCGCAUACGUCCUGAGGGAGAAAGUGGGGGAUCUUCGGACCUCACGCUAUCAGAUGAGCCUAGGUCGGAUUAGCUAGUUGGUGGGGUAAAGGCCUACCAAGGCGACGAUCCGUAACUGGUCUGAGAGGAUGAUCAGUCACACUGGAACUGAGACACGGUCCAGACUCCUACGGGAGGCGGCAGUGGGGAAUAUUGGACAAUGGGCGAAAGCCUGAUCCAGCCAUGCCGCGUGUGUGAAGGAGGUCUUCGGAUUGUAAAGCACUUUAAGUUGGGAGGAAGGGCAGUAAGUUAAUACCUUGCUGUUUUGACGUUACCAACAGAAUAAGCACCGGCUAACUUCGUG
rnacentral:rRNA from 1 species